rnacentral:misc_RNA from 1 species
GCUCUUCCUAUAGAAAGCAUGGGUAGUCAGAGUGAAGCCAAACUCAAAUUUUGUAUAGACAGAGGGGGCACUUUUACUGAUGUCUAUGCAGACAUUCCUGGUAAACCCGAAGGUCGAGUCAUGAAGUUGUUGUCAGUUGAUCCUUCUAAUUAUGAUGAUGCUCCAGUUGAAGGAAUAAGGAGGAUUUUGGAGGAAUUUACUGGAAAGAAAAUUCCCCGUAGUUCAAAGCUUCCUACCG